ensembl:lncRNA
ACUGUCAUUUCCUAUUUUUUCUUUCACUAUUUCAGGGCAUGAACAUGGAUUUUCUUUCUUUAAAAUAUUCAAAUGGAAAAAAAGGACUUGAAAUCCUAAGAUUCCUGUUCACCGAGGAGAUGUUUCCUACUCAGACUGCUGAUGCACAGCUAUUCACAUCUGGAGAAAAAGGAUGACAAGAAUUGCAUUCACUCUUCAUGUGACAACUCACAGCUGAAAGAAUCUCAAGUAUUUUUUGGGAAUCUACAUAUCAAGAAUAAUAAAAAUUGCAAGAAAACUCAUGAGGGAGCGCAGAAGGAAGAAGGAAUAUAUGAACAAGUCUCCACACAGCAAAUAUCACCUCCAGUCAUAUUCAUACAAGAUAACGAGAUGACCCCUCUGCCACUUUCCUUCAAAGUUGAAACAGAGAUUUCCUUCUCGGUGGGCCCACAGCCCCUUGAGGAUGGGGAGAGUCAGCAUGAAUCUGGGACUUAACAGAAGUGCUGAACAGAGAAAGGACAAGCAAGGCCAAUGCACCCAAAGCACAACGCUCAAACCAAACAUCUCCCUGGAAAAUCCAGACUCAAUCUACUUGUGUUAACACAGCUAAAGUCAUGAACGAGCCUGUAUUAUUAACACAUUGGCAUAAUAUGUAAGCCAAUAUUGAAUUUAAUGAAAAGAAAGCAUUUGAAAGCUUUUUGUUUUUCCUUCUUUAUUCUAGUUAAGUCUGAGAACAAAGCUUCCUUUCUUCUAACUUUUUGUCCCCAUGCUGUCAAAAUGAGUCAGUCAAAUACCUAAUUUUCUUACAG